GGAGGUUGCAGUGAGCCCAGAUGGUGCCACUGCACUCCAGCCUGGGCGAUAGAGUAAGACUUUGUCUCAAAAGCAAAAACAAAAAGGCCAGGCACGGUGACUCAUGGUGGGCCUCUAGAUAGGUUAUGCUAAGGACAUGAAUCAGGAUGGGGGUGAGCCACACCAGAAAGAUCAACCAUGUGAUUAGAGGGUUGGAGCUUUGGCCCAGUUGAUAUCAGCCCAAUAAAACCCCAAUAGGAAUUCUGGACACUGAAGUUCAGUGAGGCUUCCUGGUUGGUGAACACAUUGAUGUGCCAGUAGGCUCUGUGCCCUGACUCCUCAGCAGUCCCCACAGGAGCUCAGAUUCUGGGACCUGUUCCAACCUUCCCUAUGCAUAUUCUUUUUUGUUGUUGUUGUUGAGACGGAGUCUCGCUCUGUCACCCAGGCUGGAGUGCAGCGGCACGAUCUCUGCUCACUGCAGGCUCCACAUCCUGGAUUCACGCCAUUCUCCUGCCUCAGCCUUCAGAGUAGCUGGGACUACAGGCACCCGCCACCACGCCUGGCUAAUUUUUUGUAUUUUCAGUACAGAUGGGGUUUCACCGUGUUAGCCAGGAUGGUCUUGAUCUCCUGACCUCGUGAUCUGCCCGCCUCGGCCUCCCAAAGUGCUGGGAUUAUAGGCGUGAGCCACCAUGCCCGGCCUUUUUUUUUUUUUUUUUUUUUUUUUGUGAGUCUCACUCUGUCGCCCAGGCUGGAGUGCAGUGACACAAUCUCAUGUCCGGCUAAUUUUUGUAUUUUUAUUUGUUUUUUUUUGUUUUUGUUUUUGAGACGGAGUUUCGCUAUUGUUGCCCAGGCUGAAGUGCAAUGGUGCAAUCUCGGUUCAGCGCAACCUCCGCCUCCCAGAUUCAAGCAAUUCUCCUGCCUCAGCCUCCUGAGUAGCUGGGAUUACAGGCAUGCACCACCACGCCUGGCUAAUUUUGUAUUUUUAGUAGAGACGGGGUUUCACCAUCUUGGUCAGGCUGGUCUUGAACUCCUGACCUCAGGUGAUCCGCCCUCCUCGG
rnacentral:lncRNA from 1 species